rnacentral:piRNA from 1 species
UCACAGCUGAUCUUGUAUCUUCUGGCCU